CGGCGGCGGCGGGUUUCCCUUCACCGCGCGCGUGCGCGGUGUAGAGGGGAACCCGUUUGCCGCCGUCUCCGGGCGAGGAGGUAGACCUGUUGCCCGUAGGCAGCCGGGGGGGCCGCCCCGCUGUCCCGCGCGGUGCCAUCCCGUGCGGGCGGGCGCAGAGUCGACGGCACCUCCUCGAACGGACUUUGCCGCCUGGCGAGGGGAAACGGGGUAGACCUGUUGUCCCCCGCUUAUUUUGG